rnacentral:rRNA from 1 species
GACGAACGCUGGCGGCGUGCUUAACACAUGCAAGUCGAACGGAAAGGCCCUGCUUUUGUGGGGUGCUCGAGUGGCGAACGGGUGAGUCACACGUGAGUAACCUGCCCUUGACUUUGGGAUAACUUCAGGAAACUGGGGCUACUACCGGAUAGGCGCUCCUGCUGCAUGGUGGGGGUUGGAAAGUUUCGGCGGUUGGGGAUGGACUCGCGGCUUAUCAGCUUGUUGGUGGGGUAGUGGCUUACCAAGGCUUUGACGGGUAGCCGGCCUGAGAGGGUGACCGGCCACAUUGGGACUGAGAUACGGCCCAGACUCCUACGGGAGGCAGCAGUGGGGAAUAUUGCACAAUGGGCGGAAGCCUGAUGCAGCAACGCCGCGUGCGGGAUGACGGCCUUCGGGUUGUAAACCGCUUUCGCCAGGGACGAAGCGUGAGUGACGGUAAUGGGUAAAGAAGCACCGGCUAACUACGUG